UGCAGAAUCCCGUGAACCAUCGAGUCUUUGAACGCAAGUUGCGCCCGAGGGACCCUCCCGAGGGCACGCCUGCCUCAUGGGCGUUAGAAGCCCAUCCACGCUCUGUUGCCCGACGGCAGAGACGCGGACAGUGGCCCUCCGAACCUCGAGGUGCGGUGGGCCUAAGUGUGCGGCCGUUGUAUGUGGCCGGGAGCGGCGAGUGGUGGGCUGCUGCGCACGCCGCCCCGAGCCCCGUACCGACACAGGGCCUCUUAUGACCCCUGACGAGGAGCUUUCCGUCGCGGCUCGCGCCGCGCGGGGCCUUCGGACCGAUACCCCAGGUCAGGCGGGGCUACCCGCCGAGUUUAAGCAUAUAAAUAAGCGGAGGAGAAGAAACUUACAAGGAUUCCCCUAGUAACGGCGAGCGAACCGGGAGCAGCCCAGCCUUAGAAUCGCGGUGGCACUGCCGCCCGA
rnacentral:rRNA from 1 species